ACCGAUGAUGGCGACUAUCAGGUCAAACUACGCAACCUGAUUCGCUUUCUGGAAGAGGGCGAUAAAGCCAAAAUUACGCUGCGUUUCCGCGGUCGUGAGAUGGCGCACCAGCAGAUCGGUAUGGAAGUGCUUAACCGCGUCCGUAAAGAUCUGUGUGAAGACAUGGAUCUGGCGAUUGUCGAAUCCUUCCCUUCGAAGAUCGAAGGUCGUCAGAUGAUCAUGGUGCUCGCUCCUAAGAAGAAACAGUAGGCCUUCAAGUAAUAAAGCCGCGCAGCGCUUGCGUUGUGCGGAUUUUUAUUCGCCUGUCUGAUUCAUUUUAUUAACAAUGCGAAGUGGAUAUUUGUAAAAAUGCCAA
rnacentral:misc_RNA from 2 species